AACAAAGUAAGUUUUUACAUCUCAGUUUCGUUUGUUUCCUGAGAAAAUCUAUCUUGUUUUGUGAAGAUUGUGAUUAUAAUCUGCUUUUUUGCUCUCAAAUCAUUGUCCCUAAGUACCAAUUGCGGAUAUUCCCUGUUUCAAAACCUGAAAAUUUACAAGUUCACUGUGUUUUUCACUCUGCAGUGAAAUUUCUCCUUUUUCUCCCCCAAAAUGUCUUUACAAGUCUUAAUAAUGGUAAUCAUCUUAAAAUACGAAGAGAAAAUUACUAGUUAGCAAUAUUUAUUAUUGAUUGAGAUCCAGUUCAACAGCAUUGUGAUCCAUGCUAUGAAUUAAUUCAAUAAUAUUGAAGUGAUUUAUAGGACCACUAAAUUAAAAAAAAUAAUAAUAAAAAUCUUUUGCCUUCCAUGUUUGAAGUAGAGACAAUUAAAGUAUGUUAGUAGUGGGUAGUGGUUACA
rnacentral:misc_RNA from 1 species